UAAAAGUUUUGUAAGAAUGACAGAUAAUAUACGUAAGAAACCUAAGAGAUCGUAUAUUCUUGGUAAAUAAUAGUUACCUCUUAUUUUGAGUUACUAUGUCAUUCAAUUUAAUAUCACAUAGAAAUUAAGAGUUUUAAAAAUAGGUGCUAUUUGCUGUAGAAUGUCACUUUUAAUUAAUUUUAUCAAUUCCUCAGAGUUAUUUUAAGAGCUCCCUAUGUUGCUAAGGAAUUUUUAAAGAGGAAUCAGUAUAAACAGAUGAUCGGCAGAGCUGGCCGAGCUGGAAUAGAUACUGUUGGGGAAAGCAUCCUUAUAUUGCAAGAGAAAGACAAGCAACAGAUUGCAACAAGCCUCGGUGACAUCUAUCAAUUUAUGAAUGGUACGUUGUUUGGUGUUCAGCAAAAGGUUUUAUUGAAAGAAAAAAGUCUGUGGGAAGUCACUGUUGAAUCACUUAGAUACUUGACAGAGAAAGGACUCCUGCAAAAAGACUCUAUUCAUAAGUCUGAAGAAGAGGCCCAGUGUAAUUUUCAUAUUACAAAGUUGGGACGAGCUUCUUUUAAGGGAACUAUAGAUUUAGCUUAUUGUAACGUUCUCUACAAAGACUUAGAGAAAGGUCUGGAAGGACUUGUGCUUGAGAGCCUUUUUCACCUAAUCUACCUGACAACCCCCUAUGAUCUGGUUUCUCAGUGUGAACCUAAUUGGAUGAUAUACUUCUGGCAGGUGAGAAGAUUUUUCAACUUAGGAUACUUAAUUUACUAAUGAUGGUUUGAUCUUUGUCAAGUGAUUAUUCAUUUUUUUGUCCUCCAUUAAAAUAUAUUUUUAAUUGGGUCUUCUUGACCAGCCUUAAAAAAUAAUAAUAAUAAUUG
rnacentral:lncRNA from 1 species